rnacentral:lncRNA from 1 species
AUGGCUGACCAACUGACUGAGGAGCAGAUUGUAGAAUUCAAAGAAGUUUUUUCACUAUUUGACAAAGAUGGUGAUGGAACUAUAACAACAAAGAAACUAGGAACUGUAAUGAGGUCUCAGGCAGAAUCCCACAGAAGCAGAGUUACAGGACAUGAUUAAUGAAGUAGAUGCUGAUGGUAAUGGCACAAUUGACUUCCCUGAAUUUCUGACAAUGAUGGCAAGAAAAAUGAAAGACACAGACAGUGAAGAAGAAAUUAGAGAAACAUUCUGUGUGUUUGAUAAGGAUGGCAAUGGCUAUAUUAGUGGUGUAGAACUUCACCAUGUGAUGACAAACCUUGGAGUGAAGUUAACAGAUGAAGAAGUUGAUUAAAUGAUCAGGGAAGCAGAUCCUGAUGGUGAUGGUCAAGUAAACUAUGAGUUUGUACAAAUGAUGACAGCAU